GAUAGGAGCAUGCACAUGAGUCCCCGCCCCCUCCAGUACGUGAUGGUGGAGGAAUGGACGGCGAGCAUCGGCAGUGCUGGCGCCACCUUUAAGUACAAUGCAGGGAACCGGGAAAAGCAGCUCUGAACUUCUUGCUCGGCGGUAGUGUCGUUGCCACCGCUCCGCCCAAGCGCCAGGCCUAAACCUGGGGCUUGUUCCGAACAGUGCCCCAGCGUGCGGCCCCUUCGCCCCGCACGGGCCUCGCCACCGCUCGGAACCUCGCCGGGGGCAGUGUCCUGCUCAGGCUUUUGGAGAUUGAAGCGCCCACCGUGGCCUCGGCCAGGCACUCCGGUCUUUGACGCACCCGCUCUGGGAGCUCCGAAGGGAGGGCGAAGCCAGGGGUUUGGGACUGAGGCCUUGACACCGAAAAUAAUCUUCCUCGUUCUGAUGCCAGCAGCGUGCAGACCGUUAAUGCUGGAGUGGGAGGCAAGAAUGUCACCUUUUCCGGGUUUUUGCAAAGAGCUAAAAGGGAGGAGUUGAGAAGAACUGACAAGAGCAGGUUGAGGUGGCCCGUAUCUGCCUGUGGCACGGGAUUCAUUCAGAGGAGAAGAAUACGAUUGUGGCCCUCCAGUGUUCAGUCUGUCUGGGAAGACAGACCAGCAAAUAAAUCCUUAUAGUGAGGACAGUGAGAUGGUGACGACUAUCUUAACAAGGAAAGGGAAUGAGGAAGCUAUAGUUGACUCUUCACUCUCAGCAAAUGCUGUGGCCAAUGACACUGACCUGAGAGCAGCAUGAGACUACGGGAAGCCUUUCUCCAAAUUCAGCCCAUCAUUCUAAGCGCACUUCCCUCUUUGGAUUAGUGAGCAGAACUGAAGAGAGGGCACGAGGGUUCUGGAGGAUACCGACCAAUUGGACGUCUUUAAGCCCACUGAACUCCUUGUUAUUAUUAAUCUUCUGUGAGGCUGCAGCAAAUGAACAGUCAACCACAACAAAGAUGGCGGGAGCGGCUUCAUCACGGCAACGGCGACGCUACACUGCAACGAGCGCCUCAAUAUUUAGUUCCGGCCUGCCCGUUUAACGUCACUUCCGACACCGGCCCCGCGGCGUGCGCGCAGCUCCACCUGCAGCCGCGGUGGGUACGCCGAGCCGGGUGAGUGGAGUCUGAGAGAGUCUCGCGGAGAGGAAAUGCGGAGCCAGCAACAUGGAAAGGGAAGGUGGGAAGCCCGCGGCUGUCGUCGCGGUUGUGACUGAGUCUCGGUUUACCCAGCGAUACAGGGAAUAUCUCGAGAAGCAGAAACUCCUGGAUAGACAGCACCGUGUAGAAAAGAUGCCGGAUGGCACGGUGGCGCUGCCCGUGGUGGGAGAGGCUCUCCCUGAGCAGUACCUGCAGGAGCUGAGGGAUCGUGUGGCUCCAGGCAGCACCUGUAAAGUAACACAGCUCCUGGAUCCUGUUCCCUCAAAGAAGGCCCAGGGUUGUUCACCCGCCCAAAGGCUGUGUCUUGAAGUGAGUCGCUGGGUAGAGGGCCGGGGAGUGACGUGGUCAGCCGAGUUGGAGGCUGACUUGCCCCGAUCUUGGCAACGACAUGGUGACCUCUUGUUGCUAAGCGAGGACUGUUUCCAAGCCAAGCAAUGGAAAAAUCUGGAACCAGAACUCUGGGAGGCUGUUGCGUCGGCACUUGGCGUCCAUCGUGUGGCUAAACGAGGGCGGGUAUCACCAGAUGGCACUCGAACACCAGCAGUGACUCUGCUGCUGGGCGCCCAUGGCUGGGUAGAGCAUGUGGAUAAUGGGAUCCGAUAUGAGUUUGACGUGACCCGGUGCAUGUUCUCCUUCGGAAACAUCACUGAGAAACUUCGAGUGGCAUCGCUGCCCUGUGCUGGAGAAGUGCUGGUGGAUCUCUAUGCAGGGAUUGGUUAUUUUACGUUGCCCUUCCUAGUCCAUGCUGGUGCUGCCUUCGUCCAUGCCUGUGAGUGGAACCCCCAUGCUGUAGUUGCUCUGAGAAAGAACCUUGAUAUCAAUGGAGUAGCAGAUCGGUGCCAAAUACACUUUGGGGAUAACAGAAAACUGAAGCUCUCAAACAUUGCAGACAGGGUGAACCUGGGACUAAUUCCUAGUUCUGAAGAAGGCUGGCCCAUUGCCUGCCAAGUGUUAAGACGGGAUGCUGGGGGCAUUUUGCAUAUCCACCAAAAUGUGGAAUCUUACCCAGGCAAGAAUCUCCAGCCUCCUGGAGGCAGUGAAAUGGAGAAGGAGCACUGGCCUUAUCCUCAGCAAAUUAUCACCAACGAGUGUACAAAUGGAGCAACCAGGGAUUCUAGGAGAAAAACACUAUCAGCUACCACCAAACCAGAGUGGCAGAGGUGGGCGGAAUCUGCAGAAAUUCGUAUUGCCACCCUUCUUCAGCAGGUGCAUGGGACACGGUGGAAGACACAAAUCCUGCACAUCCAACCAGUGAAAUCCUAUGCUCCCCACGUGGAUCACAUAGUGUUGGAUUUGGAAUGCCGCCCCUGUCCUCUAGUUGGGUAGAGAAGGUGGAUCCUUCUCUACCAAGGAUCUACAUGCUCUAGAUCAGUUCAAGUCCUCUUGUUUCUCUUCCGUUAACACAAUGAGAAUGAACUACAUAUCUGGGAGAAGCAGUAUGGCUCAUUGAAAUGAGGCCUGUACCGUGAAUUCUCACCUCAGUCCUGUCUUACCUUGGGCACUGUAAUGAGGGCCAGACACACAGAGUUUUCUCCGAGUACUUGCUGGAUUGGCCUGGUCAGGAAGAGGCAUCUAAUGGAACCAAGGAAAAAAGACUGGAAGGACCAGGAGGCUCGUGGAGAGUUUGUCACCUCAGUCCAGGAGUGUGUACAAGUGCCGAAGGCUUCCUUUGUGAGCAUCAGUAUUAGCUGCUGGUUAAUGCACCCACUUGAUGGAGAGACUUGAUUAAAAAACAGUAAUGAUAAUUUUAUUAAACUCCCUCAACCGUGAGUUGCUUGAUUCAUUGACUUCAUAAUUUUAAUAAAUUAUGUGCAUAUAUUGAUAUAGGGAGUAUAAUGUAUACAUUUUAAAUAUAAAAACAUAGACAUUUAAAAUGAUGAGUAACAGAUAGGAUUUUUAAUUCACUUUCUCCCACCACGGACACGUAUGUGAGGAGAAACCCAAUAUAUGUUAUUCUGCACAGCCUCAGGGUGCAUCCACUUCACAGUGGGCAAGCCAUGAAACCAGUCAUUUUCUUGGCUCUUGGUAGUUUCCUCUCAUGGGUACUGAUCAUUACAGUCUGCUGCUUCAGGGGAUGGUCAGCAGAUGUCUGGAGUUCUCUGUAGCUCUCUGUACUCUGGCAUUCUACCCUCUGGACUCAUUCCUGGGCUCCUAGGACUCCCCGUUCCACCUCCACCUCAGGGAGUCCUGGCUUCUCCCUCCUCAAGCCCAGAAACUUUCUCCAGGCGGUAAGCUGGAGCAAUUCAAUGGCUCGCCCUGUGGGUUUGCGUCUCCCAUGGAUCAUUGUCCAUUGCCUGUGUCAGUGCCUUGAGGGGGGUUGUUCAUAUGUUUUGUGUAGCUUUUUUUUUUUUUUAACUAUUUAGAAGUUUAUAAUAAUUAGGGUAUAAAUUUACUAGCUUUCACAAUCAUUGAAGAAGUUCACUUCUAGCCAUAAUAAAUAUAUACACAUACUUAAGCUGACACACCAUUUCAUCAUCCACAGAUGGCUCUUGUGUGCCAGUGGGUGUUGGUAGAAGCUGAGCAUCUCUGGGGACAUCAGGUAACUCUGCAGCCAGCGUUCCCCUUCACAAGCUGAGUUUUGUCAGACCCUUCAAGUCAAUCCAUCGUAAGAUGGAAGCGUUGCCUCUGGGAUGGAUGACAAGCAAGGCCAGAGGAAAUGAACAGGUGCACAGGGAAGUGUUUCAGUGGACACAUGACCACGUGAUUCACCAGUCCUAUCACAUCCUAGAAAAUGCUGGUCUGGUGGAGUGGUGGAAAAACCUUUUGAAACCAGACCAAAGCUUCGAGGUAAUGGCCAAUGAAUGAGGUGCCAUCCCCCAGAAUGCAGUAUAUACUCUAAACACCUAUUACAUAGUGCCACAUCCCAUAUAGACAGAAAGUGCACAGUUAGGGUAGAAAUAGAAUUCCUACUGUGGUGGGCUAAAUAAUGCCCCCCAAGUAUGUCCAUGUCCUAUUACCCAGAACCUGUAAAUACAUUGUAUUUACAAGAGGACAAAUAUGUGGUAAAAGGGACCUGGCAGAUGUGAUUAAGAAUCUCAAGAUGGGGAGGGUAUCCUGGAUUAUCCAGGUUGGCCCAGUAUAAUUUCAGAGGUCCUUAUAAGAGGGAGGCAGUACAAGUAGGAGGAGGUGUGAUGAUUGAAGUAGGACGCAGUAAUGUAAGGAAGGGGCCAUGAGCCGAGGAAUGAAGGCAGCCUCUGGAAACAGAAAGGCAGGGAAAUGAAUUCUCCCCCAGAACGCUUCAGGAGGAACAGAGUUAUUGGCACCUUGACUCUAGACUUCUGACCUCCAUAGCUGAGAGAGAAUAAAUUUAUGUGGUAUCAAGCCACUAAGUGUGUGGUUAUUUGUUACAGCAGCAGUAGGAAGGGAACGUAUUCAUUUACUGUCCCCACUGGCCUACCCGGGGAGUUUGUGCCUCCCGUCUCCAUAACUUUGUUUGACUAGAGGGCUGGUUCCUAAUUGGGAAACUGUUUCAUCAGGAGAUAUAAUAAUAGACCCUUUCAACUUGAACCUUCUGCGGUUUCCCAGUCACAUCAAGCUCCUUGUGCUUAGAGACCAGCAGACAAGGAGAAGUCCCCAUUCUGGUUGGGGAUAAGUGAGUGUGAUCAUCAGGAGGAAGUAUGGUUAUUGUUACACAGUGAGGGCAGGAAGGCAUAUAUUUUGUGCUUAUUCCAUCCACUAGGGUGUCUCUUGAUACUUCCCUACCCAAUGUCAAGAGUAAAAUGAGCGACUUCCAAAAUGACGGAAUAAGGACCUCUGAAAACUGGCCUCUCCAUAAAAGCAAUGAGAACACUGGCAGAAAUUGUCAAAAUCACCUUUUUCUUUUAGAACUCUAGAAACUAAAGCAAUCUGAAGAGGAUUUAUUUUAAAAACUGCUAAAUCUGAUUAAAAAGGGAAGCUUCUGGCAUUCUAACAUGCCCUAUUCCUACCCUCCAACUCUAAUAGAAGUUAAAUUGUUCUUAACUGUAGGGUGAAUGCUUCCAGGAUGAUUCACCAUUAAAUGAUAUGCAGCCUUUGUUAGACCCAUUAUAUUGCUGGUUUUUUAACCCUUUCCCACUGUACUGUAGUGUCACUUUUAUCAUAAAUCAGGUGACCGUAUAUGUGGGGCUGUUUCCAGACUUUCUUGUUCUAUAGUCAGUUUUUCUAUGGAAGCACCAAUACGAUCUUGUUUGAAUCACUGUAUCUUUACAAUAGGUCCUGAUAUCUGAUACUGUAUGUCCUUCAGCUUUGUUCUUUAAGUUUACCUUAGUUAUUCUUGACCUUUUGCCUUUUCUUACAAAUUUUAAAAUCAGCUUGUCAAUUUUGGGGAAAAUGAACCUGUUGAGAUUUUUUGUUGGGAUUACAUUGAACAUAUAGGAUACAAUUGAAAUCUUUACAGUGCCAAAUCUUCUGUCUUGAAGCUUUUCUUCUACUCAGUGGGGUGCAGUUCUGAAAUGAGAAGUGAUUAUCAGAAGCCUGGACGACAGGAUUCCAUUGUGGGGGAAGGGUCCUUUCCUUCCCAUCUGUCAGUGGGCUGUGUAUCCAUCUUCUUUGGGCUCCCUGCCUCGGCAGAUGUUUUUAACUUAGUGUUACUUGUACUCUGCCUCUCAGCAGGAUCUCAGCCCUCAGAUUAUUCUUGACCAUCACUUUACAUAAUUAACAUAUUUGAACCUAUCACCUAUUUACAUUCUAACAUAAAUUAAGUACUAUGAAUGUGAUUAUCACAUUUCACUAUCCAAACUAACAAACAUUAUCUUAACAGUACUCCUGACCCACACAUGGAACCAUUGCAAAGUAUCGUGUGUAGUGUUGUAAGGGUUCCUGUAUUUUCCUAAAAUUUGUUCACCGUUCUAAUUAUUAUUACAUACUAUAUAUCAUACUAAGUACUUAAAAUAUAUUGUUUUAAUUUGUGUAACCAGCAUGAAAAAUUACUUGCAGAGGAUCAGAUAGGCUCUGGAAUCAGAAAAAUACCAGUUAGAAUCCUGGCUCUGCCAAUUAUUGUCUGUCUUUCAACAGUUUUGUUGAGAUUAAACUAGAUGAUGCAUGCUAUGUGUUUCAUAUCUUAUCUGCCAGUAUUAACCAUCUCUCUUCUUUUUCCCAGGUGAGGAUGCUGAUUAGAGAGCUUAAGUACUGUGUCUAGAGACAGAGAACUAGCAAGAGGCAAGCAUACUGCCAAGCACAUACUGCUCAAUGUCUGUUACAUGAAUGAAUGAACCAAAGUAGUCAGUAUAUACUCAACAUUGACUCCAAAUGCCACUGUAUUCUCUGUUGUGAACAGAGAAAACAGUGAACAACAGACCCUUCCUAUUCAUUUGGAAUUUACAAAACCAGAAAACUCAACUGGUAGCUGAAUUUUGAUGGACAUAUCUGAAAUUUACUUUAAUGAAAUGAGAAAAACUAUAAAGUAGUUUCAGGCCAGAAAUUAGUUUUUUUAGUAAUUCCCCAAGGUCUGAGAAAAAGUUAUGGGACAUAUUUAUCCCUUUUUGGGCUAUCAAUUCCUACUCUUCCUACCAGCAUCACCAUCUUCCAUUUGAAGUAAAUGUAUAAUACGUUGGUGGAGAGAGGUGGGGUGGGUGGUUCUAAGUACCUGUUUCCUACCGCUUUCUCCCACUAAGGAAGCUGCGUGUACCUGCCCUCCGGUACAGCGAGGGGAAGAUACGUGGCCCAAUAAGCUCGACCAAUUGCAUAUCACUCUUGCAACUUGAAAUCUUGAAAAAUAAUGAAAAUAACCCUCUAAUAAAUUCCUUUUCUGCUUAAGAUAGCCUGGAAUCAGUUGCUGCUGUUUGGAACAAAGACUUGGCAAAUGCAAAGAUCAACAGAAAAUUCAAACGAGUUUUUACACAUCCUACUUUCAAAGGUUUUUUUUAGAACGACUUAAAGACAUUCAGCCAUUAAAGCCAAAUGAACAGAUUGUUAUUUUUAAACACAGGUAAUUUAUAUCUAUAGAGUGUGUCUGCGUGAAUACACACACCCCCUCCACACUGCUCUGAGUGGAUUCAAUAUAAAUACAUGCCUGAGUUGUGCAACGUUCAAGUCAAUGUAGAAACCAAGCAAAGAUUAAAUUCACUGAAUUGCAGCUAUUUCUAUGAAAGCUUUUUUUUUUUUUCAUUUGGUGAGUGCUAUGAAGGGAUUAUGCUUUUUAGGAACUUAGCUUCUAUUAAGAUGACUAACAGACAUUUCCUGAUACGAAACUGAGAAGACCUCUUGCAAAGCUAAGCAAACAUAGCUAUUGAGUUCCUUUUGUAAAAAACUGUUCCUCUGAGAUUUUCCCCAUUGUUCCUCUGUUCCAAUCAUAGCAUCUAUUAAGUGGUAUUGUAGUCAUCAACUUUUUGGUAGUACAGGAUAUUUUUUGGUAGUAUAGGAAGGGCAUCCCUUCAUCUUUACUUGCAGGUGAUUAUUUCUCCUAACUUAACUGGACCCAUAAAUGUAAGCGGGCAGGGACACCUGGGUGGCUCAGUCAGUUA